rfam:Salmo salar isolate Sally breed double haploid chromosome ssa06, whole genome shotgun sequence.
GACAACGAUAUUUGUAAGUCGCUCUGGAUAAGAGCUUCUGCUAAAUCACGUAAA